CAGUCGCCGCGGUAAUACGAAGGGGGCUAGCGUUGUUCGGAUUUACUGGGCGUAAAGCGCACGUAGGCGGAUCGAUCAGUCAGGGGUGAAAUCCCAGAGCUCAACUCUGGAACUGCCUUUGAUACUGUCGAUCUGGAGUAUGGAAGAGGUGAAUGGAAUUCCGAGUGUAGAGGUGAAAUUCGUAGAUAUUCGGAGGAACACCAGUGGCGAAGGCGGCUCACUGGUCCAUUACUGACGCUGAGGUGCGAAAGCGUGGGGAGCAAACAGGAUUAGAGACCCGCGUAGUCCCUGUCUCUUAUAC
rnacentral:rRNA from 1 species